rnacentral:misc_RNA from 1 species
UCAAACUUGGUCAUUUAGAGGAAGUAAAAGUCGUAACAAGGUUUCCGUAGGUGAACCUGCGGAAGGAUCAUUACCGAGUGGAGAGCCGUGUUGUUAAAUACAUUUCGGCUACACACAAUUUCAACCCAUUGUGAACAUUUUCCUGUUGCUUUGGCGGGACAUCAAAACAAUUUUAUUUCCUUCUGAUCUUGCUUUUGUCAGCCGGUACUAUUUCUGAGAGAAUCAGACUUUCGGAUGACUAAUUAAGGAUAAUGGAACGGAUUACUAUUGUUUUGGCUUGGGAGAGCGAGCAUUUUUUUAUGCAAGCUUUUUAAGUAAGGGCCCGCCAGAGAUUUUGACAAAAAGAACUCUUUUAUUUUUUUUUAAAUUCCUUUAUAAUUGUGAAAUUAUAAAAGUAAAAACUUUCAGCAACGGAUCUCUUGGCUCUCGCAUCGAUGAAGAACGCAGC